AUUGAACGCUGGCGGCAGGCCUAACACAUGCAAGUCGAGCGGAUGACGGGAGCUUGCUCCUUGAUUCAGCGGCGGACGGGUGAGUAAUGCCUAGGAAUCUGCCUGGUAGUGGGGGACAACGUUUCGAAAGGAACGCUAAUACCGCAUACGUCCUACGGGAGAAAGCAGGGGACCUUCGGGCCUUGCGCUAUCAGGUGAGCCUAGGUCGGAUUAGCUAGUAGGUGAGGUAAGGGCUCACCUAGGCGACGAUCCGUAACUGGUCUGAGAGGAUGAUCAGUCACACUGGAACUGAGACACGGUCCAGACUCCUACGGGAGGCAGCAGUGGGGAAUAUUGGACAAUGGGCGAAAGCCUGAUCCAGCCAUGCCGCGUGUGUGAAGAAGGUCUUCGGAUUGUAAAGCACUUUAAGUUGGGAGGAAGGGUUGUACGUUAAUACCGUGCAAUUUUGACGUUACCGACAGAAUAAGCACCGGCUAACUCUGUGCCAGCCGCCGCCGUAA
rnacentral:rRNA from 1 species